rnacentral:rRNA from 1 species
AUUGAACGCUGGCGGCAGGCCUAACACAUGCAAGUCGAACGGUAACAGGAAGCAGCUUGCUGCUUCGCUGACGAGUGGCGGACGGGUGAGUAAUGUCUGGGAAGCUGCCUGAUGGAGGGGGAUAACUACUGGAAACGGUAGCUAAUACCGCAUAAUGUCGCAAGACCAAAGAGGGGGACCUUCGGGCCUCUUGCCAUCGGAUGUGCCCAGAUGGGAUUAGCUUGUUGGUGGGGUAACGGCGCACCAAGGCGACGAUCCCUAGCUGGUCUGAGAGGAUGACCAGCCACACUGGAACUGAGACACGGUCCAGACUCCUACGGGAGGCAGCAGUGGGGAAUAUUGCACAAUGGGCGCAAGCCUGAUGCAGCCAUGCCGCGUGUAUGAAGAAGGCCGUCGGGUUGUAAAGUACUUUCAGCGGGGAGGAAGGGAGUAAAGUUAAUACCUUUGCUCAUUGACGUUACCCGCAGAAGAAGCACCGGCUAACUCCGUG